rnacentral:misc_RNA from 1 species
AGAUUCAGCAUGAGAUGGAUAGCAGGGUUCACCCUGUGUUUACUGGUUCUCCAUGAAACAGCAGCCGACUUGUACCUACAUUCGCUCAGGGGUAGCAACAACAGAUUGAACGAAGCUACAGCGACCAGAGCCAACGCCAACAGAGUUUUUGAUUCACAGAACAACAACCGUGGUGGGUAUAAUGUUGGAGAUGUGGACAAAGAUAAAUCGGGGAACGACGAGGGCAAGCAGUACAGAAUGCAAUACUUCCAGAGUGGAUCGGCUACCCCGGGGGCCACUGACAAGAGUUACAUCACACUGGAAUGGACCAAUCAGCACGGCUGUGGGGGGAGCGAGGACACUGACCCCCAGAAACAGAACUGUCACAUGGUCCUCCAAUACAUGUGUCAGGACGAUGUGUCCUCACCCGUCGGUACCGCUGACACGCUCAGAAAUGGUGUAACCACACAGACGCCCAAUCACAACAGAGCUCAGAGUCUGCAGGAGAACAAGGCCACUGCCCAGAACAGAAAGAAUAACAACGUCAACACCCAGCGAGUGCUGCAGGAAUCAUGGGAUUGGUACGAUAAAUGCUACAUGAGGGAGAGGAACAAAGGCUUGUUCACGGCAGACCAGAAACUGAAGAAGAACAACGGGCUCGGGGUUAGUGCUGCCAUCUACACCCGUCAAAACCCCAAUGGCAAUCGCUAUGGUUACGAGUGCCCAGAGGAGCGGGACUAUUUCCCCUACUGGCACCCCACCCCGUGGACGGACAUCGCUGUCCUAACUGAUAACACCACCCUCUGCAGUUACUUUCAGGAGGGCAGUUUCAACAGGAAGGCGUACGGAGAAUGUGUGGAAGAGUACGGGGACGGGAGCCGUAAACAUUGGUCCAAAUGGAACAACGCACAGGAGUGUACAGCCAAUGGGGGCCAGUGGGUCGUGUUCAGCAGUUACAUUGAAAAAGCACCUCAGUACACAACAGCUGGUCAGUGCAAUUCUCAGGCGGAGCGAGGAAAUCGUUAUGUGUGGGCGGUACCUUACGACGCCACGGACGUCACUAAGGCGGAGUGUCUGGUCCAGGCCCCACCUGUCGACUGUAAACAGGCCGACUGGUCAAGAUCAAAUCAUCUAGGAAAUGGAGUGAAUGGUGAAGCUAACCGCUAUCAAUGGACCCUGCCUUUUUUUCCCUCGAACAGUGAUAAACGAUGUGUAUUGAGAAUGAGAUACAACAUUUCCACAGAUGAUUAUGCCCCCUAUUCUACGGACAGCACCAAAAACUUAAAUGAUGGUAUUGAGGGCAUUGCUUCUCCUAUUGAGGAUAAUCCCUAUGUGGAUGUCGGAGGUCGAUCCGCUCUACGACUAAACAUCAACACGGACCAGACAGGGCGUAUAUUUCAGGAUCGCAGUCAUGUCUUCAAACUUUUGUCUCGCCCUGCCGAAAUCAAGUCUGAUAAAAUCUUCAAUGUAAAUGUACGAGGAAAACGUGGAAACAUCGUCCAAGUGUAUCCGGCUGUGGAGUAUGAUUUCAUUCCCAACAACCUGCAAAUGUCUGCAACAGACUCUGUGCAUAUACAAUGGACUGGGUCCAACUCUCACAACAACGGUGGGGGCGGCGGAGAUGGACAAGCUGGAGAUGAAGGUCAAGGUCAAGGAGGCACUGACAGAUCCAACAUUGUACAGAUAGCUGAUCUGAAUGAUAAUUUCCCGAUGCCCUUUGAAAGGUCCAACAUGUGGAAUAAUGCCAACAUUCGCUGGAUUUAUCACGGAAAAACUGAUGUCUCUGCGGAAAAUCUAGCAGUAACCAUGGCGUCUGCUGGUUAUUAUAGAUGUGUAAAGAAGUCAGACUGCCCAGAAGCUGAACACAACAACUACAUUGUGGAGACCAAGACCAAAAUGAACAAUUUACUCAACAACGCCCCCGCAUCCUUCCAAGGGCCGUCCUGAGGUUCCAAAGGGGAACUUAUCAUUACAUGUCUACCAGAAACAACAACUUUUCCAACCGAAGUCAGAAGUCAACAAUAACUGUUGUCUAGGGCUCAAGUCAUGUUUUCAUAACUGUGUACAUGCACAUACUGGUACCAUAUGAUAUUAUUUAUUAUUAAUAUUUGUGUGCGUGUCUGUGUGAGUGAAAGUUUUAUUAAAAAUGUAAUAUCAGGUAUGUUUUAAAAAAAAUGAUGUUUAAAUUUGCUUUUUUGUCACAUUUUGUCUCAGGAUACUUCAUAAACAUUCCUAGAUUAUGCAUAUUUACUAAUAUGAUUGCCUACUUGUGAUGAUAUUAAACUACAUUUUCUUGCCAAUUCAGUUGCCAUAUCAUUUGAAGUUAUAUUCAUUUGUCUGAUAUUUUUGUGUGAAUCAAUUGGCUGAGCUAGCGAAUGUUGUUAGUAAGACAGUAUGACAACAGGUUUAUAAACUCUAUAGGUGACACUUUCAAGGUCCGAGAGAAAGUAUUCAUGAGUUUUAAAAUGUGAACAUGGCAAAAUGGAAUCAACAAAUUAUCCUGGUAGCUACAAAGACCAUUUACAAAAUAAAUGCCAAUGAAAAAAUUGAUAUUCCAGUAUUGUUUCGAUUCGUCAGAAUGUUUACAUCACAUCUGAAUUCAGUUCUACACAGAUUGUAUCAUUGUGCUUCAUAAAUGUUGUUUUUCUUCAUAUUCUUGACACACUCCUUUGAGAUGAAAAUACUUAAAGUAUUUUAUCUCUGCAUGUGUAAUUUGGUGCUGUUUUGAAAUAUACAUGAGUGUGUAUUUAAGCUUUAAUUCACCUACAUAUACUGUAAAUUGCAUAUCAUUUAAAGCAUAAAGUUCUCUAUUUUUCUAAUAUAAAGGUCAAACAAUACUGCAGAAAGUGUGCAACCUUACAAGUUAAUUACCGGGUACCUUUAUUUACAUGUAUAUAUCCAAUUUACAGCCAUUUAUUAUCCUCACUUUUCUUUUUCUGAAUGCUAUAAAUUUGUUUUUAUUGAUUGGACAAAAUUGUUAUAUUUAUAAAAAAACAUUAUACUAAAACACAAAAUUCUUAGUGUUAAAAAACCUAAACCAUAAAAUUUCAUAAUUUUUUAUUAAGUUUAUUGAGGUUUUAAAAUACCUCUUAAGGUAAAGCAAACAGGUUGAGUAGAUGAGGAAUGACACUUAGAAUUUUGGGUAUCGAUGACAAGGAUAGAGGAUGAGGCACAAAGUAAAAUGAUAUUUGAAAAUCAGAAAUUUUCACUAAAAUAGAUGUAGAUAUUUAUGAUUUUGUUAAAUAUAUUAAGUAUGAUUGAUGAUUAUGAUCACGUACAUCCAGUAAAAGAGCUCUACAAAGUCUGAAUGCUGUGUUAUUGUGUAUCCUGCUGGCUCAGGAACUCUUUAAAUUAUAUCUGUAUCUCUUUGUAUACUGGUCAUACCAAUAAAAUGUGUAAAGUC